rfam:Camelus ferus unplaced genomic scaffold scaffold145, whole genome shotgun sequence.
GAGGGGAUAGCUCAGUGGUAGAGUGCCUGCCUAGCAUGCACAAAGUCCUCGGUUCAAUCCCCAGUACCUCCA